UACGUAGGGACCGAGCGUUGUCCGGAUUUAUUGGGCGUAAAGAGCUCGUAGGCGGUCGCGUAAGUGGGGUGUGAAGUCUCCUUGCUCAACCCGGAGGGGACACCCGAUACUGCUCGACUUGAGUGCUGUAGGGGAGUGGGGAAUUCCUGGUGUAGCGGUGAAAUGCGCAGAUAUCAGGAGGAACACCGGUGGCGAAGGCGCCACUCUGGGCCGGUACUGACGCUGAGGAGCGAAAGCGUGGGGAGCAAACAGG
rnacentral:rRNA from 1 species